AAUUAAUGAGCUUGCAUAAGCAUAUAUUUUGAAAAUAUAAGAAAGAAGUAUAAUCUUCUAUUAAUUU
rnacentral:tRNA from 1 species